UACGUAGGGUGCGAGCGUGUCCGGAAUUAUUGGGCGUAAAGAGCUCGUAGGCGGCUUGUCGCGUCGGAUGUGAAAGCCCGGGGCUUAACUCCGGGUCUGCAUUCGAUACGGGCAGGCUAGAGUUCGGUAGGGGGAGAUCGGAAUUCCUGGUGUAGCGGUGAAAUGCGCAGAUAUCAGGAGGAACACCGGUGGCGAAGGCGGAUCUCUGGGCCGAUACUGACGCUGAGGAGCGAAAGCGUGGGGAGCGAACAGG
rnacentral:rRNA from 1 species